rnacentral:lncRNA from 1 species
AAAGCUACUUCUAAGUUUUUUUUUUCUGGCUUUGUGUUCAUCCCCUCUAUUUAUAUCUAGUUUCUGAUUUUUGAAUUCAGAUUUUAUGGUGAUGUAAUAUGAUUUUUCAAAAAUGGUUCAUUCUUUGAGGUUCAAAUUACUUAUGAUAAUCUGAUGAAAAAUUCUGCCAUCCUUCUCAAAUUGUGAUAGUCAAUUUUUAACUUUCCUCUGUUUAAUUUAUUGAUUUGUAUUUUGAUUGUAUUAACAUGAUAAAACUAUGCUUGGAUUGAUGGAAC